GCUCGCUUCUGGGGUGAUCCAUGGCAGGGCUCUAAGGUCGCAGUCGGAGCUAUCCGCUUCUAGUUGAACCCAUAGCUUGUCUCUUGGUGUUGUCGACCAACCGAUGAUUCGCGUGAGGUGUGUUGCUAGGUAGUACUUCCUGAAGUCUGGGAGAGCCAGUCCCCCUUUGAGUUUAGGGCGCGUCAGUUGGGAGUGGGCUAUUCGGGGGGGCUUGCCUUUCC